GCUGCCACAAGCCUGUGAGAUCUUGAAGGUGGGAGGGGCGAUUCUGUGUACGAGCCAUCAUCUGGAUCCACAAACUCCUUUUUGUCCUCCCCAGAAGUUCAACUGAAUUAAGUAGGUACACUGGUGGUCACCUGUUCUUGGAUCUCCAUGUAGAUAUGAAGGUAAGUACUUUUUCCAACCAUUUGUACCUUUUGUGGUUGCUAAGACAUUUGUUGUCUAAGUACUUGCCAAAACAAAACAUUUCCACACAAUUCUCUUUUCUUAUUUAUAACUUUAAAUUUUGAUUUGAGUUAAUUUUUAGCAGAUUCAAUGUGCUGUGUGAUGCAAUUCUAAGAACAUACUGAUAUUCCCUUUGUCCCUCUCCCGCUUCCUUCCCUCUCUCACUCUCACCCUGUUCCUCCCCCCCCUUUUUUUUAGUUUUUCAGAUAACAUAUUUUAAAAUUACAUUAUUGUAAAAAGGCUUAAUACUUCACCAAAUGUCAUGCAAUUUUCACUAAGUAUUUGAUUGAUAAAGCUUUGUUUUGAACAUAGGGCAGUUUUAUGAAUGUGACUAAAAAUAAAUGCUCUUAGAUUUUCCUUUAGUUUCCUCCA
rnacentral:lncRNA from 1 species